GUUUUUGUAGCCUAUAGGUUAAGGUGCACGUCUGCCACGCUAGCAAUCUAGGUUCGAAUCCUGGGUAAGACA